GGAGGACCAACAAUACUAGCAAUGGCUGGAGAAAACCUUAAAAUGUUAAUCAUGUGUCGCUCACACUCCCUGCCGGGUUUGCAGCAUGUACCCGUCUGUUUGCUAUGAGUGAUCAGUCACACAGCAACCUUUCUGAAUAGUGAAAUGGCAGCAUGGAGUGGCCUCAGCUUUGACAGCUGCUACCACAGCAAUCACAACAGGCCAUCAAGAGAUGAACCAAGUUUGCUUUUGUUGUUCCAGUGAAAACAAAGACCCACAUGAUUAAACCUCAUUUUUAUGUGCAUUCUGUGUGAUUGUCCAUUGGACUGCUGUUAUACACGGAGGGCUAGAUCUUCAGCUACGCAUGUGGCUGGAAUUCCAUUAAUAUGAAAUUAUUAAACAAAAUAUGGAAAUAGGUAGUGGCUGAUAGCCAGACGAAUCUUCUCAUUAGUACUACUCAGGAAUUACUUUAAAAGACUAAUACAUUUCAAGCUGACUUCAUGUAGUGAAUUUAGUCAGGAUGUCAGCCAAUGACAGCUAUCUAGGGAUUAGGAGGGAUGAUAGGCUUAAUUCCAUUGUUUUCAAUGCACUUAAAUGCUUCGAUCUCUGUGGACUGACCAAUAAAUUUAUGGAGUUUUUUGUU